AUGGAAGAAGAGACUCGUCAGCUCGAGUCCAAACUAGACCAGUCAAAUAGAUUCUAUGAAGGUAGAAUUAAAGAACUGGAGAUAAAGAUGCAAGAAAUGAAUUAUCAGGCUGGAGUGUUACUUAUUUCAUGGAAUAAAGAAAAAGAGAUAUCAGAGGAAAGGAAGACAUAUGCCGAAGAGAAAAAUAAAGUAAUCAAGCUAUUGGAGAUGUCUAAUGAGGAUGGCCAGAUUACUGUGUGUUCAUUAGAAGAAAAGGGUGAAAUUACUCGAGGAAGAAGCAGAACAACUCAAAAGGAAACAGGAAAAAUUAGAAAUGGAGCUGCACAAGAAUUGCUAGUUGUGCCAUCCUCUAGGGAAGCAAAGAGCUCCCUGGAAGACAGAAUGGUUGAUUCACCUGACCCAACCAGGUACCCGAGUAAUAUAAACAAUGGGGUACUGCGUUCUCAGGAGAGUAGAAUAGGUCGAAAGGAGCCUUUUGAAGCAGAGGUAAUGAUGGCAUUCUUUGAAGAGCAAAUGCAAGGAAGCUAUGCAAGCUCAUUUGAAGAUAUAUUCAAAGAAGCUGCAGACGAUUCUCUUGUUGCUUCACAUUUUCUUCCACACAUUACAAGCCAAAUAAAGCCAAAUCCAAAUGCAGUUGAGGAGGCAGUUGACCUAGACACUAUAGCUGUUGAGUCAACUCCUCUAGUGGAACACCAAGAGGAACCUGGUGAGCCUUCUUCUGAUGAGUGCAUGCAUGAGGCCAGCCCAUCAGAUUUAGAGAUGGCAAAGGCAAUUUCAUUAGAAAAGGAUUGCUGGUCAGAGAACUCGGAGUUUGAUUCAGAGGAGCAAGUGACGCCUCCAGCUGUGGAGUCAGUGGUAGAAGUUCUGCAGGAGAAUGAGUUGCCUCCAGUUUCUCUAGUGCGUCCCAAUGAUCCGGUGAAAUACACUUUAGCCACUUGUGAUGAGCUGAAGAGGCUCAGAAGCAGGAACCACUAUGAGGGUGAUAGGACAGCAACAGACAGGAGAUUCUGGUCCAUUGAGCAGCAGGACUUGUACAACUCCAUAUACCGUAGGGCCGAGUUGUUUACUAUGCAGUGGAUAGACUGGGAGUACAUCGAUAGCAUAGAUGAGUUUUCUUGUGUCAGACAGAGAUGUGCCCAUGUGGGGCUUGAGCAGAUCAUGAGGUACCAUUGUGAUUGGGACAACGAAUUGAUUAGGCAGUUUUACUCCACAGUUCAUAUCAGCGACGACAAUAGCUCUAUUACUUGGAUGGCAGAUGGCAGGAGGAUAACUACAAACAAGAGGGCAUGGGAGGAGAUGUUUGGCAUUCCUGGCAGUGUUCACACUGCAAUAAUUCACUCAGAGUUUUUGCUUGAUGAUGAUGACAAGAGGAUCAUGUACACAGCUGCAGAAUGCAUAGUAGGCCAAACCAGGGGCCUCUCUCAAUUGGCUAGCAUAGCCAAUAAGAUUAUUCGGAAAACCAUCUAUCCCAGGUCUUAUAGAAGUAAAGUCCAGGGAUACAACUGGAACCUCCUACGUCAUAUUGUGGAGCAGCAUCCAUUUGACAUCAUUGCUUUGAUCUUCGACGAGAUUAAGUUGCUUAUUUCAGAUCACAGCCGCACUUGCCUCUUGUAUGCACCAUACAUCAUGGGGAUGAUCAUGCGAGCUUUUGAAUAUGAUGGACCUAGAGAAACCAGGCACGAUUCCUACAAGCCCAGGCCCGACAAGUCAAAGCAGACAAAAAAAAUUAGUCGUCCACUGGCACCUGCAGUAGUUGCACCUUCUGAGCCACCACCUUCAGCAUGUCAGCCGGAGGUAGAGGCCAAUGUUGAGGCAGAUGACCACAGCCAGUUCGAGGAAGCCGGACACCGGCCCCAGGGAGAGGCAGUGCAGCAUACCAAUGCCUCCUUGUCUUCUCAGAUCCUAGCUCCACGCUCCUCCCUGACACCUUCCCUUGAGGCUACCACUCCCUCACCGCCUCCGGCUCCAGCUGCAUUUCCUGAGCAGGCCAGCAUGAUGCACGCCGGCCUCCGGUGCUUCAGCUCAGCCAGCUGUUUUGGGGCCAAGUCCUUUUAG
rnacentral:rRNA from 1 species